GACGAACGCUGGCGGCGUGCCUAAUACAUGCAAGUUGAGCGCUGAAGGGUGGUACUUGUACCAACUGGAUGAGCAGCGAACGGGUGAGUAACGCGUGGGGAAUCGGCCGUGGAGCGGGGGACAACGUUUGGAAACGAAUGCUAAUACCGCAUAAAAACGUUAAACACAAGGUUUAAGUUUGAAAGAUGCAAUUGCAUCACUCAAAGAUGAUCCCUAGUUGGAUUUGGUAGUUGGUUAGGUAAAGGCCCAACAAGGCGAUGGUACAUAGCCUGCCUGGGAGGGUGGACGGCUCACAUGGGAAUUGGACACGGGCCCAAACCCCACGGGGGGGAGCAGUAGGGGAACUUCGGACAUGGACGAAAGUCCGACCGCGGACAGCCGGGUGAGUGAAGAAGGUUCUCGGAUCGGAAAACUCUGUUGGUAGAGAAGAAAGUUGAUGAGAGUGGAAAGCUCAUCAAGUGACGGUAACUACACAGAAAGCGACGGCUAACUACGUG
rnacentral:rRNA from 1 species